UGCUAAAUAGUGGCUAACGUAGAUGGAGAGUGCUUUGGUUGCUCAGUUGCUGCAUCCAGUUCACCCAUUUUGUAACUUGAAGCUGAAGCAAGUGACCAAGUCCUCUGUAAACUCACGUGGCUUGCCGUAGGAUGGCAGAGGCUGAUAGAGAAAGAGAAAGUCUGGUCAUGAAUUCUGUGACUGGAAAAUGAAAAGAGAAGGAAUGGACAGAUAUCAUUGUCCUCCAGUAAUCAUGGAUAAAGGGAAAUGUAAAGGGACAGAUGAAGUAAAAUAUAUAUCUCCACAUGAUAAACAC